AAUAUGUGAAACAGCAUGGGUUUACCUUUGAAUGUGUUUCUCCAAGGCCGCACUAGAUGGCACUCUCAGUCUGUCUAAAGUCAGCAUACAAGACGACCUGAUGAGGUUUGAUGGGAAGGCACAAGAUCCAGUUUCAGGGCGCAGUUACCUGUUCAACUCUUCCACUAGUGAACGGCGUUGGUUGUAGGGGACGUCCAGUCUUACCAUCAACGACCUGCACUGAUUUAAGUGCUGUUUAUACCAUCUGGAGCUGAAGAGGAUUCAUAUGAUGUGGAUUCAUAGUAUGUGGAUUCAUAGUAGGUGCGCAAUCAGGCAUUUUAGCAUAAUUGUGAUUUCAAUUACAGGUCGAUUUGAAGUUUGUAAGAGUGAUAUUUUAAAAGGUACUAUUUAAUACAUAAUCAUGCUGACCUGCUGUGUUGGAGGCUACUCCUUAAUUACUAUUCCUGUGUGUGUACUCAUGUAGUUCAGCAUCAACAGUAUACCUUAUAUAUACACACAGAAGUAUGUGGACACCCCUUCAAAUUAGUAGAUGUGGCCAUUUCAGCCACACCCGUUGCUGAUUGGUGUAUAAAAUCUAGCAAACAGCCAUGCAAUGUCCAUUGACAAAGAUUGGCAGUAGCAUGGCAUUACUGAAGAGCUAAGUGAAUUUUAAUGUGGCACUGUCAUAGGAUGCCACCUUUCCAACAAGUCAGUUCAUCAAAUGUUUCCCCUGCUAGAGCUGCUGUAAGUGCUGUUAUUGUAAAGUGGAAAUGUCUAGGAGCAACAACGGCUCAGCCGCAAAGUGGUAGACCACACAAGCUCACAGAACAGGACCGCUGAAUGCUGACGCACGUAUAAAUAGUCAAUCCUCAGUUGCAAUAUUCAUUACGGAGUUCCAAACGGCCUCUGGAAGCAACAUCAGCACAAUAACUGUUUGUCGGGAGCUUCAUAAAAUGAGUUUCCAUGGCCGAGCAGUCACACAAAAGUCUAAAAGUACCAUGCAUAAUGCCAAGCAUCGGCUGGAGUGGUGUAAAGCUCACCACAUUUAGACUCUGGAGCAGUGGAAACACGUUCUCUGGAGUGA